ACACACACGAGUCCUCUAGGGCCAGUGCUCAAGGCCAGUCUGUGGCUCUCCUCUGGUGAUAAUAGGGUGAGGCCUUAGCUGGAUGGGGUACUUGAGUCCCACUUGGACUGUUUCCUACAUUUUCCAGGGGCAUCCGGAGGUGGGAGGAGCCACAGGAAAGGCCUGUCCUCUCAGGCAGCAAGCACUAUCUGUUGGCAUGAAGUCCAAUGGAGCUCUGGGGAAGCGAGAGAUUUCAGGUAUCCUGUACCCCCCGAUAGGAUGUACCGAGGAGGAUACUUCACCUCUGUGGUAUUUCCUCCAAAAUCCAUAACCUCAGUCUACACACAAGAAAACGUCCGACACAUCCAAAGUGAGGGACCUUCUACGGGACACCUGACUGCUCCCUCGUCAGAGGUGUCAAGGUCGUGAAAAAUGAGGAAAGACCAAAAUCUGCCUCGGAUUAAGGUGACUGUGGAGACAGGGAGACUUAAAUGCAGCGUGGGAUCCUGGGAUUGAGAAAAGAUAUUUGUGGAAAAGCUGGAGAAAUUGGAAUAAACUUCGUGGCUUAGUUAAUAGCGCUGUACCAGUGAUGAUUCCCUAGUUUUGAUAAACAUACCAAAGGUAAGGUUUUAACACUCAGGGAUGACAGGGGAAGAAUUUAUAGAAACCCUCUGUACGAUCUUUGCAACUCUUCCAUAAAUCUAACACUGUUUCCCAAAAGAGUUUUUGAAAAAUUCCAUGGGUUUCUCACGGUUAUAAAGUGGUGUGAAAUAACA